UCCCUCUCAGGGUCAUAUCUGUAGAGUUCCCAAUACUCUACCAGUCUCAGCUACAAGAAGAAGAGUCAGGCAGAGGCAUAUCCAUUCCAUUCCUAGCUUGGGCAGUGGCUAGAGAGUGGAAAGUAAUCUGCUACAAGU